rnacentral:rRNA from 1 species
UACGAACGCUGGCGGCGUGCCUAAUACAUGCAAGUCGAGCGGAACUGAGGGAGCUUGCUCCUUCCAGUUUAGCGGCGGACGGGUGAGUAACACGUGGGCAACCUGCCCUGCAGAUCGGGAUAACUCCGGGAAACCGGUGCUAAUACCGAAUAGUUUGAAGCCUCUCCUGAGGCUUCACGGAAAGACGGUUUCGGCUGUCACAGCAGGAUGGGCCCGCGGCGCAUUAGCUAGUUGGUGGGGUAACGGCCCACCAAGGCCACGAUGCGUAGCCGACCUGAGAGGGUGACCGGCCACACUGGGACUGAGACACGGCCCAGACUCCUACGGGAGGCAGCAGUAGGGAAUCUUCCGCAAUGGACGCAAGUCUGACGGAGCAACGCCGCGUGAGUGACGAAGGUUUUCGGAUCGUAAAACUCUGUUGUGAGGGAAGAACACGUACCAACUAACUAUUGGUACCUUGACGGUACCUCACCAGAAAGCCACGGCUAACUACGUGCCAGCAGCCGCGGUAAUACG